rnacentral:rRNA from 1 species
AUGGCGACCCGUAUCCAGUUUGAGAACAACUGUGAAGUUGGUGUUUUCUCCAAGCUCACAAAUGCCUACUGUCUGGUUGCAAUUGGAGGAUCAGAGAAUUUCUACAGUACAUUUGAGUCUGAGCUUGCAGAUGUCAUUCCUGUGGUCAAGACCUCUAUCGGUGGCACUAGAAUAAUUGGUCGCCUCUGCGUUGGAAACAAGAAUGGACUUCUCUUGCCACACACAACCACUGAUCAAGAGCUUCAGCAUCUGAGGAACUGCAUACCUGAUCAAGUGGUUGUUCAGCGCAUCGAUGAAAGGCUGUCUGCCCUUGGCAAUUGCAUAUCCUGCAAUGACCAUGUUGCGCUCACACACCCUGACCUUGACAAGGCAACUGAGGAGCUUAUUGCAGAUGUGCUUGGGGUUGAGGUGUUCCGUCAGACGAUUGCAGGAAAUAUCCUUGUUGGCAGCUACUGUGCAUUCUCUAACAGGGGUGGACUGGUCCAUCCUCACACAUCCAUUGAAGAUCUUGAUGAGCUGUCCACACUCCUCCAAGUCCCUCUUGUCGCUGGAACCGUGAACCGUGGUAGCGAGGUCAUUGCUGCGGGCAUGACGGUGAACGACUGGACCGCCUUCUGUGGCUCAGACACCACGGCUACCGAGCUGUCCGUCAUCGAGAGCGUCUUCAAGUUGAGAGAAGGCCAGCCCACAGCGAUCGUCGAUGACAUGAGGAAGUCGCUGAUUGACAGCUAUGUCUAA